GGAGAGUUGGCAGAGUGGUUGAAUGCGGCGGUCUUGAAAACCGUUAUACUGAGCGAUCGGUAUCCGGGGUUCGAAUCUCUGUAUCUCCG
rnacentral:tRNA from 1 species